CCUACGGGAUGCUGCAGUAGGGAAUCUUCCACAAUGGGCGAAAGCCUGAUGGAGAAACGCCGCGUGGGUGAAGAAGGUCUUCGGAUCGUAAAACCCUGUUGUUAGAGAAGAAAGUGCGUGUGAGUAACUGUUCACGUUUCGACGGUAUCUAACCAGACAGCCACGGCUAACUACGUGCCAGCAGCCGCGGUAAUACGUAGGUGGCAAGCGUUAUCCGGAUUUAUUGGGCGUAAAGGGAACGCAGGCGGUCUUUUAAGUCUGAUGUGAAAGCCUUCGGCUUAACCGGAGUAGGUCAUUGGAAACUGGGAGACUUGAGUGCAGAAGAGGAGAGUGGAACUCCAUGUGUAGCGGUGAAAUGCGUAGAGAUAUGGAAGAACACCAGUGGCGAAAGCGGCUCUCUGGGCUGUAACUGACGCUGAGGUUCGAAAGCGUGGGUAUCAAACAGGAUUAGAUACCCGAGUAGUC
rnacentral:rRNA from 1 species